GCCAAAAUAGCGUAAUCUGGUAGCGCGUAGAUUUGCAAAAUCUAAGGUAAUGGUUCAAGUCCAUUUUUUGGCU
rnacentral:tRNA from 2 species